rnacentral:rRNA from 1 species
GUAGAGCGGCGAACGGGUGAGUAACGCGUGAGGAUCUUCCCUUCAGUGAAGGAUACCCUUGAGAAAUUAAGGUUAAUACUGCAUACGUCCCAUAUUUAUUUAUGGGAGAAAGAUGGCCUCUUGCUGUCGCUGAAAGAUGAACUUGCGUUCUAUUAGCUAGUUGGUGGGGUAAAGGCUCACCAAGGCGAUGAUGGAUAGCCGGCCUGAGAGGGUGAACGGCCACAUUGGAACUGCGACACGGUCCAGACUCC